UCAAAGGCUUUUUAGAAGCCACUAAUAGUGCCAGGAAGUAUUUU
rfam:Tupaia chinensis contig26451, whole genome shotgun sequence.